rnacentral:rRNA from 1 species
AGAGUUUGAUCCUGGCUCAGAACGAACGCUGGCGGCGCGCCUAACACAUGCAAGUCGAACGAGAGACUCUUCGGAGUAGUAAAGUGGCGAACGGGUGAGGAAUACAUGGGUAACCUGCCCUUGAGAAGGGGAUAACCCGCCGAAAGGCGAGCUAAUACCGUAUACGCUUGUCGCCUCACGGGGUAAUAAGGAAAGCUAAACCGAGGGUUUGGCGCUCAAGGAGGGGCUCACGUCCUAUCAGCUUGUUGGUAGGGUAACGGCCUACCAAGGCAGCGACGGGUAGCUGGUCUGAGAGGAUGAUCAGCCACACUGGCACUGAGAUACGGGCCAGACUCCUACGGGAGGCAGCAGUGAGGAAUAUUGCGCAAUGGGCGAAAGCCUGACGCAGCGACGCCGCGUGGGGGAUGAAGGUUUUCGAAUUGUAAACCCCUUUCAGGAGGAAAGAGAAGGUGGGUUACCACCUAGACGGUACCUCCAGAAGAAGCCACGGCUAACUUCGUGCCAGCAGCCGCGGUAAU